GCUGGGUGCGGUGGCACACACCUGUAAUCCCAGCAGGUCGGGAGGCUGAGGCAGGAGGAUCACGAGUUCAGAGCCAGCCUCAGGAACUUAGUGAGACCCUAAGCAACUCAGCGAGACCCUGUCUCUA
rnacentral:sRNA from 1 species